AUUGAACGCUAGCGGGAUGCCUUACACAUGCAAGUCGAACGGAGUGGCGAACGGGUGAGUAAUGUAUCGGAACGUGCCCAGUAGCGGGGGAUAACUACGCGAAAGCGUAGCUAAUACCGCAUACUAUUGGAGCGGCCGAUAUCGGCUUAGCUUGUUGGUGGGGUAAUGGCUCACGGAGGCGACGAUGCGUAGCUGGUUUGAGAGGACGACCAGCCACCCGGGGACUUAGACACGGCCCAGAGUCCUACGGGAGGCAGCAGUGGAGAAGUGUGGACAAUGGGGGAAACCCUGAUCCAGCCAUCCCGCGUGUGCGAUGAAGGCCUUCGGGUUGUAGAGCACUUUUGGUAGGAAAGCGGUACCUGCAGAAUAAGCGCCGGCUAACUACGUGCCAGCCGCCGCGGUAAUAC
rnacentral:rRNA from 1 species